rnacentral:rRNA from 1 species
GAUGAACGCUGGCGGCGUGCCUAAUACAUGCAAGUCGAGCGAACGGACGAGAAGCUUGCUUCUCUGAUGUUAGCGGCGGACGGGUGAGUAACACGUGGAUAACCUACCUAUAAGACUGGGAUAACUUCGGGAAACCGGAGCUAAUACCGGAUAAUAUUUUGAACCGCAUGGUUCAAAAGUGAAAGACGGUCUUGCUGUCACUUAUAGAUGGAUCCGCGCUGCAUUAGCCAGUUGGUAAGGUAACGGCUUACCAAGGCAACGAUGCAUAGCCGACCUGAGAGGGUGAUCGGCCACACUGGAACUGAGACACGGUCCAGACUCCUACGGGAGGCAGCAGUAGGGAAUCUUCCGCAAUGGGCGAAAGCCUGACGGAGCAACGCCGCGUGAGUGAUGAAGGUCUUCGGAUCGUAAAACUCUGUUAUUAGGGAAGAACAUAUGUGUAAGUAACUGUGCACAUCUUGACGGUACCUAAUCAGAAGGCCACGGCUAACUACGUG